rnacentral:rRNA from 1 species
UACGAGGGGGGCGAGCGUUGUUCGGAAUUAUUGGGCGUAAAGGGCGCGUAGGCGGUCGGAUAAGUCUUGUGUGAAAUCUUCGGGCCCAACUCGAAGUCUGCACAGGAAACUAUCUGGCUUGAGUGUGGGAGAGGUGAGUGGAAUUCCUGGUGUAGCGGUGAAAUGCGUAGAUAUCAGGAAGAACACCAGUGGCGAAGGCGGCUCACUGGUCCGGUACUGACGCUGAGGUGCGAAAGCGUGGGGAGCAAACAGG